GACGAACGCUGGCGGCGUGCUUAACACAUGCAAGUCGAACGGUGAACCUCUUCGGAGGGGAUCAGUGGCGAACGGGUGAGUAACACGUGGGCAACCUGCCCCCGGCUCUGGGAUAACUCCAAGAAAUUGGGGCUAAUACCGGAUGUUCACCGCUUCCCGCAUGGGUGGUGGUGGAAAGGGUUUCCGGCUGGGGAUGGGCCCGCGGCCUAUCAGCUUGUUGGUGGGGUAGUGGCCUACCAAGGCGACGACGGGUAGCCGGCCUGAGAGGGUGGCCGGCCACACUGGGACUGAGAAACGGCCCAGACUCCUACGGGAGGCAGCAGUGGGGAAUAUUGCGCAAUGGGCGGAAGCCUGACGCAGCGACGCCGCGUGGGGGAUGACGGCCUUCGGGUUGUAAACCUCUUUCAGCAGGGACGAAGCGCAAGUGACGGUACCUGCAGAAGAAGCACCGGCCAACUACGUG
rnacentral:rRNA from 1 species